AAAUCGUGUAUUAAUUAACGAAAUUCCAAAAACAACCAUUAGUGUAUUUCGAUUUCAAACAGUAUAACGAUAGAUAGGAGUAUACUAAUAAGGAUCAGCGAAAAAUAUGAUUUUUCAUAUAAAAUUGCGCCUUAUAUUCGGUGCAACUAUUAUUAGCAUGAUAUCCUUACUCCUUGUCAACGAAAGUAAUUGUCAUAUGGAAGAACUGAUAGAUGAUGUGCCAAGGAUCGACAACCUCACAUGCACCUGUGAGAGGGUCUAUGUACCUGUAUGUGCCACUGACAAUAGAACAUACAUCAACGAAUGUUACUUCAACUGUUUGAAUAAGUAUAGAAUAGUAUUGGACUCUGAGGAGAGGAAAGCGAUGGGCACAAAUCCAAUAGACCUUAAUAAAUAUAACAUGAGUAUCAUGUGGCGUGGACCAUGCGUGUCUACCAGAUUUGACAAGGUCAUCGAUUUGGAAUACAUCGCUCAUUAUGACUACCACCACUUUCCGUGGUCGUAGACGAUUCACUACUUGACUAUAAAAUAAAAUGCAAUAAAGUUGGCAUAAUUUAUCAA